GACGUAGGGGGCCAGCGUUGCUCGGAAUCACUGGGCGUAAAGCGCACGUAGGCAGAUUGUUAAGUCAGGGGUGAAAUCCUGGAGCUCAACUCCAGAACUGCCUUUGAUACUGGCGAUCUCGAGUCCGGGAGAGGUGAGUGGAACUGCGAGUGUAGAGGUGAAAUUCGUAGAUAUUCGCAAGAACACCAGUGGCGAAGGCGGCUCACUGGCCCGGUACUGACGCUGAGGUGCGAAAGCGUGGGGAGCAAACAGG
rnacentral:rRNA from 1 species